rnacentral:rRNA from 1 species
AGAGUUUGAUCCUGGCUCAGGAUGAACGCUAGCGGCAGGCUUAAUACAUGCAAGUCGAACGGCAGCACGAAUAGCAAUAUUUGGUGGCGAGUGGCGCACGGGUGCGUAACGCGUAUGCAACUUACCCUUAACUGGGGAAUAGCCCCGAGAAAUCGGGAUUAAUACCCCAUAACAUCAUGAACUGACAUCUGUUUAUGAUCAAAGCUCAGGCGGUUAAGGAUGGGCAUGCGUGACAUUAGCUAGUUGGUAAGGUAACGGCUUACCAAGGCUACGAUGUCUAGGGGUUCUGAGAGGAUUAUCCCCCACACUGGUACUGAGACACGGACCAGACUCCUACGGGAGGCAGCAGUAAGGAAUAUUGGGCAAUGGACGCAAGUCUGACCCAGCCAUGCCGCGUGCAGGAUGACGGCCCUACGGGUUGUAAACUGCUUUUGUACGGGAAAAAACCCUUGCUCGAGUAGCGAGGCUGAUGGUACCGUAAGAAUAAGCAUCGGCUAACUCCGUGCCAGCAGCCGCGGUAAUACGGAGGAUGCAAGCGUUAUCCGGAUUCAUUGUGUUUAAAGGGUCCGCAGGCGGGGUAAUAAGUCAGAGGUGAAAUCCUACGGCUCAACUGUAGAACUGCCUUUGAUACUGUUAUCCUAGAGUGUAGUUGAUGUGGGCGGAAUAUGUCAUGUAGCGGUGAAAUGCUUAGAUAUGACAUAGAACACCGAUCGCGAAGGCAGCUCACAAAGCUACAACUGACGCUCAGGGACGAAAGCGUGGGGAUCAAACAGGAUUAGAUACCCUGGUAGUCCACGCUGUAAACGAUGGUCACUCGAUGUUGGCGAUACACUGUCAGCGUCUGAGCGAAAGCAUUAAGUGACCCACCUGGGGAGUACGAUCGCAAGAUUGAAACUCAAAGGAAUUGACGGGGGCCCGCACAAGCGGAGGAGCAUGUGGUUUAAUUCGAUGAUACGCGAGGAACCUUACCUGGGCUCGAACGUAGGGCGACUUACCGUGAAAGCGGUAUUCUCUUCGGAGCGACCUACGAGGUGCUGCAUGGUUGUCGUCAGCUCGUGCCGUGAGGUGUCGGGUUAAGUCCCAUAACGAGCGCAACCCCUAUCAUUAGUUGCCAUCAGGUAAAGCUGGGGACUCUAAUGAAACUGCCUACGCAAGUAGUGAGGAAGGUGGGGAUGACGUCAAAUCAGCACGGCCCUUACGUCCAGGGCUACACACGUGCUACAAUGGCCGGUACAAAGGGCAGCUACCUGGUGACAGGAUGCUAAUCUCGGAAACCGGUCUCAGUUCGGAUCGAAGUCUGCAACCCGACUUCGUGAAGUUGGAUUCGCUAGUAAUCGCGCAUCAGCCAUGGCGCGGUGAAUACGUUCCCGGGCCUUGUACACACCGCCCGUCAAGCCAUGGGAGCUGGGGGUACCUAAAGUUCGUGACCGUAAGGAGCGACCUAGGGUAAAACUACUGACUGGGGCUAAGUCGGAACAAGGUA